CGGACGAGAAGCUUGCUUCUCUGAUGUUAGCGGCGGACGGGUGAGUAACACGUGGAUAACCUACCUAUAAGACUGGGAUAACUUCGGGAAACCGGAGCUAAUACCGGAUAAUAUUUUGAACCGCAUGGUUCAAAAGUGAAAGACGGUCUUGCUGUCACUUAUAGAUGGAUCCGCGCUGCAUUAGCUAGUUGGUAAGGUAACGGCUUACCAAGGCAACGAUGCAUAGCCGACCUGAGAGGGUGAUCGGCCACACUGGAACUGAGACACGGUCCAGACUCCUACGGGAGGCAGCAGUAGGGAAUCUUCCGCAAUGGGCGAAAGCCUGACGGAGCAACGCCGCGUGAGUGAUGAAGGUCUUCGGAUCGUAAAACUCUGUUAUUAGGGAAGAACAUAUGUGUAAGUAACUGUGCACAUCUUGACGGUACCUAAUCAGAAAGCCACGGCUAACUACGUGCCAGCAGCCGCGGUAAUACGUAGGUGGCAAGCGUUAUCCGGAAUUAUUGGGCGUAAAGCGCGCGUAGGCGGUUUUUUAAGUCUGAUGUGAAAGCCCACGGCUCAACCGUGGAGGGUCAUUGGAAACUGGAAAACUUGAGUGCAGAAGAGGAAAGUGGAAUUCCAUGUGUAGCGGUGAAAUGCGCAGAGAUAUGGAGGAACACCAGUGGCGAA
rnacentral:rRNA from 2 species